rnacentral:rRNA from 1 species
CCUACGGGAGGCAGCAGUGAGGAAUAUUGGUCAAUGGACGAGAGUCUGAACCAGCCAAGUCGCGUGAAGGAUGACUGCCCUAUGGGUUGUAAACCUCUUUUAUAAAGGAAUAAAACGAGGCACGUGUGCCUUUUUGCAUGUACUUUGUGAAUAAGGAUCGGCCAACUACGUGCCAGCCGCCGCGGUAAUACGGAGGAUGCGAGCGUUAUCCGGAUUUAUUUGGUUUAAAGGGUGCGUAGGCGGACUGUUAAGUCAGCGGUAAAAGGCAGGGGCUCAACCCCGGCGAGCCGUUGAAACUGGCUGUCUUGAGAUGUCGAGAGGUAUGCGGAAUGCGCAGUGUAGCGGUGAAAUGCUUAGAUAUUGCGCAGAACUCCGAUUGCGAAGGCAGCAUACCGGCGGCGAUCUGACGCUGAGGCACGAAAGCGUGGGUAUCGAACAGGAUUAGAUACCCGAGUAGUC